UACGUAGGGGGCAAGCGUUGUCCGGAAUCACUGGGCGUAAAGCGCGCGCAGGCGGUCAUCUACGUCUGGGGUGAAAGCCCGGAGCUCAACUCCGGGACUGCCUUGGAUACGGGAUGACUUGAGGAUCGGAGAGGCAAGGGGAAUUCCACGUGUAGCGGUGAAAUGCGUAGAGAUGUGGAGGAACACCUGUGGCGAAGGCGCCUUGCUGGCCGAUUUAUGACGCUGAGGCGCGAAAGCGUGGGGAGCAAACAGG
rnacentral:rRNA from 1 species